GGCAACAUGGCCGAGUGGUCUAAGGCGCUACGUUUAGGAAUUGUACCCGUGCAAUGCCCAAACCCGUAGUCCGAAAGGGCGUGAGUUCGAAUCUCACUGUUGUCA
rnacentral:tRNA from 1 species